AGCCGCCAGCCGCCGCCGCCCUCUCCGGCGCAGCCCCCCUCACCUCCGUCACGGGGAUCGCCGGGAGAGUCAGCUACAGUCUAACUCUCACGGAUCUGUAUCCUGAUUCAGACAUGCAUUUAAACAAGUCAUUCAUUCACUGGGCAAAACAGGAACUAGGGUCAGGAGCUUAGGUAAAUUCUCAGUUAAGAGAUGUGCAUGCAUAUGUUCAGUUAGCAGCCACAUAUACAUGUUACAUAAAGUGAUGCUGGAUGAGAAACUGAUUUCUAAUGCUCUUGUGCAUGUGCAUACGGACACUACCACACCUUAUGUGUAAUGGUUAAUUGCAGCAAUUCAAUGAUUUUUAUACUUAUCAGGUAACUAAACUGCAAUAAAACAUGCAUACACCAGUCAACAUAUGCCUCACUAUACCGAUACUGAAACCUGUGGGUUCACUAUACUGAUUUUUCUGACCAAAACAAGCAAUCGAAAAUACACAAGAUCUCUGAACACUCAGUUUUGAAUAAUUUUAACUGAAACUGCGUAUGUUGCCCCAUAGAACUGAGGACCUCUCCUGCUAGCCUAAACUUAUUAUCACAGGUUGUCACCAUUUAUAAGGACCUAAAAUUCCUUCAUUUUUUUUGUGUUUCUUCUAAUUCCAUGGUUCUUAUUGUUUCCUUAGUUCUGAGUAACCUCUCAGGGCAUGUGUAGAAUCAAAGAAUUCAGGUCUUCCAACCAAGGUGGCUUCGUGGAGGCGGCGGGCGGCAAGGUCUCAGACUGGCAGCAACAUCACACCAUCAGUGUAAUGCUUCCACUAGAAAUAAUAAUGAUACGGUCCUGUUGAUUUUCAAGAAUCAUCCCAAUAUCUCAGUAAAGCAACUAGUACAUCGGAGGCUCAACACAAAGUUGACACCUUAAGGAGAUGAAUCCAUGCUCUGGAAGCACAGACAGUGAUUGCAUUUAUGAACAACACCAAGCUACUGAAGGAUGUUUUAUUUAAGUUGGAGGCCCGUGGGAUAAAAGCUAUCGAGCUACAUGGAGAUCUUGGGAAGCUUGCAAGGUCAACAGUCUUGAAAAACUUCAAGAAAGAUCUCGGAAAGCUUGCAAGGUCAAUAAUCUUGAGAAAGUUCAAGGGAGGUGAAUUCAGAUUUCUAGUCACGAACGAGUUUAUUAGAAAAAUGCGGAAGCAAUUAGGUGUGCACAAGUGCAUGUGGCCAGAUUAACGUUCAUAAGGAGGAGUACUUUAGUUUCUCCAAGCAACGUUGCUUUUCAUGAGAAUUUAGUCUGGUUAUAGUUGCCAGUAACCAUUUUUGCUCCCCAAAGUUUGUAUACAUUGGAAAAUACUAGCUUUUCCUUGUAACAUUUAGUUGUUUUUCUUAUGAAGGAUAGGCAUUGAGCUCUACUAUUUUGUUUUGAUGUGCCCCUCUUAUGGAGCCAUAUUGCGAUUUGUAACUACUGGGAAUGCCUUAAUACUACCCUGGUCCUAUGUAUUUCAAA